rnacentral:rRNA from 1 species
AUAGCGAUAAACGGAGUGAGAAACUCCGUCGCCGAAAACCCAAGGUUUCCCGGGCUAGGUUAAUCCUCCCGGGGUUAGUCGGGAACUAAGCCGAGGCCGCAAGGCGUAGGCGAUGACAAGCAGGUUAAUAGUCCUGCACCUGUAUGAGCGUUGAAGCAAGCGGUGAUAAAGAAGGAUAGCUGGGCCACGUGACGGAUCGUGGUUGGUGCAUAUGGCUGGGAGUAUACGAAACCAAAGGUAUUCCCGUUAAGGUGAAGGUGCAUCGCAAUGUCAAUCAUUUGUGAUUGAUAGAGUCAGUAACUCCAUGCUUUCAAGAAAAGCCGCGUGUGGAGCAAAAUACAGCCCGUACCGUAAACCGACACAGGUGGGUGGGGAGAGCAUCCCAAGGCGCUUGAGAGAACCGAGCCUAAGGAACUCUGCAAAUUAACGCCGUAACUUCGGGAUAAGGCGUGCUCAAUAGGUGUAAGCACUUGCUGCUGAAGCUGAAUUGAGUUGCAAAUACCAGGCGGUGGCGACUGUUUACUAAAAACAUAGCACUCUGCAAAACCGAAAGGUGAAGUAUAGGGUGUGACGCGUGCCCAAUGCUGGAAGGUUAACAGAAUCCGUUAGAGCAAUCGAAGCGGUGAAUCGAAGCCCCAGUGAAUGGCGGCCGUAACAAUAACGGUCCUAAGGUAGCGAAAUUCCUUGUCGGGUAAGUUCCGACCUGCACGAAUCGCGUAACGAUCUCCGCACUGUCUCGGGCUCGGACUCAGCGAAAUUGAGAGCGCAGUGAAAACGCUGUGUACGUACGGCAAGACGGAAAGACCCCGUGAACCUUUACUGCAACUUGACAGUGAUAUUCGAACCAGCUUGCGUAGGAUAGGUGGGAGGCUUUGAAGCGGUGAUUCUGGUCAUCGUGGAGCCGCCGUUGAAAUACCACCCUGGUUUGUUUGGGUAUCUAACCCAGGCCUCUGAUCGAGGUCGGGGACACUGUCUGGUGGGCAGUUUGACUGGGGCGGUCGCCUCUCAAAGAGUAACGGAGGCGCGCGAAGGUCCCCUCAGCCUGAUUGGAAACCAGGCGUCGAGUGUAAUGGCACAAGGGGGCUUGACUGCGAGACAGACAUGUCGAGCAGGUGCGAAAGCAGGUCAUAGUGAUCCGGUGGUUCUGUAUGGAAGGGCCAUCGCUCAACGGAUAAAAGGUACUCCGGGGAUAACAGGCUUAUCACGCCCAAGAGUUCACAUCGACGGCGUGGUUUGGCACCUCGAUGUCGGCUCAUCGCAUCCUGGGGCUGAAGUCGGUCCCAAGGGUUAGGCUGUUCGCCUAUUAAAGCGGUACGCGAGCUGGGUUCAAAACGUCGUGAGACAGUUUGGUCCCUAUCUGCCGUAUGCGUAGGAAAUUUGAGGGAAGCUGACUUUAGUACGAGAGGACCGAGUUGGACGAACCUCUAGUGUACCAGUUGUCACGCCAGUGGCACAGCUGGGUAGCCAUGUUCGGACGGGAUAACCGCUGAAAGUAUCUAAGCGGGAAGCCCCUCCCAAGAUAAGAUUUCCCAGUCGUAAAACGCAUAAGACCCCUUGAAGACUACGAGGUAAUCGGCUGGGUGUGGAACU